rnacentral:rRNA from 1 species
AGUGAACGCUGGCGGUAGGCCUAACACAUGCAAGUCGAACGGCGGCACAGUAAGAGCUUGCUCUUACGGGUGGCGAGUGGCGGACGGGUGAGGAAUACAUCGGAAUCUACUUUUUCGUGGGGGAUAACGUAGGGAAACUUACGCUAAUACCGCAUACGACCUACGGGUGAAAGCAGGGGAUCUUCGGACCUUGCGCGAUUGAAUGAGCCGAUGUCGGAUUAGCUAGUUGGCGGGGUAAAGGCCCACCAAGGCGACGAUCCGUAGCUGGUCUGAGAGGAUGAUCAGCCACACUGGAACUGAGACACGGUCCAGACUCCUACGGGAGGCAGCAGUGGGGAAUAUUGGACAAUGGGCGCAAGCCUGAUCCAGCCAUACCGCGUGGGUGAAGAAGGCCUUCGGGUUGUAAAGCCCUUUUGUUGGGAAAGAAAAGCAGCAGGUUAAUACCUCGCUGUUCUGACGGUACCCAAAGAAUAAGCACCGGCUAACUUCG